rnacentral:rRNA from 1 species
GACAGAGGGUGCAAACGUUGUUCGGAAUUACUGGGCGUAAAGCGUGUGUAGGCGGUCCGCUAAGUCGGGUGUGAAAGCCCUGGGCUCAACCCAGGAAGUGCACUCGAAACUGGCGGGCUAGAGUAUCGGAGAGGUUGGUGGAAUUCUCGGUGUAGAGGUGAAAUUCGUAGAUAUCGAGAGGAACACCUGCGGCGAAGGCGGGUUGCUGGGCUGACACGUGACGCUGAGGCGCGAAAGCUAGGGGAGCGAACGGG